AUUUGGCUCGAAGCACUUCUUUAAUUUUUCUCGCCAGGACUGGACAACGAUGAAUCAGACGUUCUUGAGAUGUCCCAAAGGGGAACAAAAUCUAGACAUUCCGGCAUGUUGACAAGAUUGAGCUGACAGUCACCUACCUAUACACCUUUCCAUUGACUUCACCAAAAAGAGUUAAAAAUACUAUAUUGAAAUGAACUGGACAUCUUCGGAAAAUAAACCGUUGAUUGCA